AGAGUUUGAUCAUGGCUCAGAACGAACGCUGGCGGCGCGUCUUAAACAUGCAAGUCGGACGGGAACCUCGGUGCUUGCAUUGAGGGGAGAGUGGCGAACGGGUGAGUAACACGUGGAUAAUCUACCUCCGGGAUGGGGAUAACUACCCGAAAGGGUGGCUAAUACCGAAUGAGAUGGUGGUUGCAUAUGCAACAGCCAUUAAAGGUGGGGACCGCAAGGCCUACCGCCUGGGGAUGAGUCCGCGGCCCAUUAGCUUGUUGGCGGGGUAAUGGCCCACCAAGGCGACGAUGGGUAACCGGCCUGAGAGGGUGAACGGUCACACUGGGACUGAGAUACGGCCCAGACUCCUACGGGAGGCAGCAGUUAAGAAUUUUGCGCAAUGGGCGAAAGCCUGACGCAGCGACGCCGCGUGGACGAUGAAGGUCUUCGGAUUGUAAAGUCCAGUAAGCAGGGACGAAUAAGCAAGGGGUAAUAUUCCUUGUGAUGACGGUACCUGUCUAAAGCCUCGGCUAACUACGCGCCAGCAGCCGCGGUAAUACGUAUGAGGCGAGCGUUGUUCGGAAUUAUUGGGCAUAAAGGGCGUGUAGGCGGGGAAUUAAGUUAGGUGUGAAAGCCACGGGCUCAACCCGUGAAUUGCACCUAAUACUGGUUCUCUUGAGUUCGGGAGAGGAGAGCGGAAUUCCAGGUGUAGCGGUGAAAUGCGUAGAUAUCUGGAAGAACACCAGUGGCGAAGGCGGCUCUCUGGCCUAGGACUGACGCUAAGGCGCGAAAGCGUGGGGAGCGAACGGGAUUAGAUACCCCGGUAGUCCACGCCGUAAACGUUGUAUACUAGGUGUAGGUGGUUUUGCCACCUGUGCCGACGCAAAUGCAUUAAGUAUACCGCCUGGGGAGUACGUCCGCAAGGAUGAAACUCAAAUGAAUUGACGGAAUCACUAGUGCG
rnacentral:rRNA from 1 species